GACCCUGCAUCUGGCACCCAACGUGGGGCUCGAACCGUAACUUUUCGGCUGAGGCUAAGCAGUCUCUCAGGGAACUCGCCGCCCCGGCAGCACCCGCAGCAGGACACCCAGCAGACCAGCCGCCCCCCGAGCAGCACCGAGUCCCCGACACGCACACUCCCAGCGUCCUGGAGGCUUCCUCCCGGCUCCCACCCCCGGGAGAGCGCCCCGGGCCUCCGGUCACGACCGCCACCCCGCGACGCCCCCUCAGACGCUGACCACAGGACUCACCGGGCCUCAGGGGCAGCGCGGGGAUGGCGACGUGCAGCACCGGGCACCGGGCACCAGGGCCGUUCUCCAGGCGGGAGGCGGACCCGCCCGGCACCUGGAGCCCUCGUGUCCGUGUGCCGGCCCUUUCUUCCCUCGGGCCUCUCCACAGCGUCUUCCGGUCCUGAAGGUCAAGCCGGGCGCGCUGGACAUCCUGCAGGCAACAACCCUCCGCCUCAGAAAAUAACCACAACAAGACGGCUGACGCAGCCCCGGACAGAGCUUUUAUAGCCCCGCUAUUCAAAUAAGGGCUCCUGAGAGGUUCACUUCCAUUGGGUACUGUGGAAGGCACCAACCAAUCAGAAAGGACCGCUUGCGACUGCGCAAAGGCGGCCAGCCCUGGGAGCCGUCCCCAAGCCGCUCCACGGCUGCUGAGCGUCCAGAGGUGGCGCGGGUUGUUCUCUGCGCCUGCGCACUGAUGCGGGGCAGCGGGAGCACGGCACCACAGCUCCCUGCCUGAAGAGGGCGCUCCUGCGACCCGGCGGCUGCUGGCCCAGGAAGCCUGAGUGUCCGGCCCCUCCCGGCUGCCCCAGAAGCCGGGCGCUGACAGCAGCGGUGCCUGCAGCCGGCGCCCGGGGAGAAGGGAGCAGCCCCGCCGCCCGUGACGCCCCUGCCCGCGAGCGCCCUGAGGAGCCGCUGCUGGCAAGGCCGCCUGACCUGGACCCCGCCUGCCCGGGGAGCCCCGGCAGGCAGGUCCCCAUCUCUCUCCCAGGUUCCCUGCACCAGGGCUCCGCAAGCACCCUCCCCACCUGACCUCUGUCCUCCCAGGCUCAGUUGGCCUUGCCUUUUGGACUGGACCCUUGCCAGACCCCAGCAGUGGCCUGCAGUCCGCUCACCAGUGCCUCUGCUUGCACGGCCCGUGCCGGGCUGCGGCUACCUCGGUGCAGGCGACUCCCUGUUCAGUGCACCCAGGCUGAGAGACUGUGAGACCCCUGCGACAGGAGGUUUCCCCCG
rnacentral:lncRNA from 1 species